rnacentral:rRNA from 1 species
GUCCACGCCCUAAACUAUGGAUACUAAGUGUCGGCGGGUUACCGCCGGUGCCGCAGCUAACGCAUUAAGUAUCCCGCCUGGGAAGUACGGCCGCAAGGUUGAAACUCAAAGGAAUUGACGGGGGCCCGCACAAGCGGUGGAGCAUGUGGUUUAAUUCGACGCAACGCGAAGAACCUUACCCAGGUUGGACAUGCACGUAGUAGAAAGGUGAAAGCCUAACGAGGUAGCAAUACCAGCGUGCUCAGGUGCUGCAUGGCUGUCGU